rnacentral:rRNA from 1 species
AUGGCUGAAGUAAAACCGGAAGAGAUGGUCCACCAUCCGCCCAUGGAUCAGCUGCAGGGGUUUGAGUACUGCAUAGACUCGAAUCCUUCCUGGGGAGAGGCAAUUGGUUUGGGGUUCCAGCAUUACAUACUGUCCCUGGGAACUGCUGUGAUGAUCCCCACAAUGUUGGUUCCUCUAAUGGGUGGAAAUGAUCAUGACAAGGCGAAAGUGGUUCAGACACUGCUAUUUGUGACUGGGAUAAAGACACUGCUCCAGACACUAUUUGGCACUCGCCUUCCCACUGUCAUUGGCGGCUCAUAUGCAUAUGUUGUUCCAGUCCUCUCCAUAAUCCAUGACCGAACGCUUGCACAAAUAGCGGAUGGCCAUACCAGGUUCCUACAGACAAUGAGAGCGACACAGGGUGCGUUGAUAGUGUCGUCAAGCAUUCAGAUAAUUCUUGGCUAUAGCCAGUUGUGGGCAAUAUGUUCGAGGUUCUUUAGCCCACUUGGGAUGGUUCCAGUGGUUUCAUUGGUGGGGCUUGGCCUUUUCGAGAGAGGAUUCCCAGUGGUUGCAAGCUGUGUGGAGAUUGGCCUUCCGAUGCUUAUCCUAUUUGUUGUGUUUUCCCAAUAUCUCAAGCAUGUACAUGUUCGGCAUGUUCCGAUUUUGGAGAGGUUCUCAUUGCUGGUGUGCAUUGCUCUUGUCUGGGUCUAUGCCCACAUUCUAACAGCAGGUGGUGCAUAUCAUCACACUGCACUGCACACCCAGAUCAGUUGCAGGACAGACCGUUCUAACCUUAUCUCUUCAGCAUUAUGGAUAAGCAUCCCAUAUCCCUUGCAAUGGGGGGCACCAACAUUCAAUGCAGACCAUGCAUUCGGCAUGAUGGCUGCAGUGAUGGUGUCGCUAAUAGAGUCAACUGGCGCAUUCAAGGCUGCUGCCCGGUUGGCAAGUGCAACACCCCCACCAGCAUAUGUCCUCAGUAGAGGCAUCGGGUGGCAGGGAAUAGGUACCCUACUGGAUGGGCUAUUUGGCACUGCGACUGGCUCUACUGUUUCUGUUGAGAAUGUUGGUCUUCUUGGGUCUACAAGGAUUGGCAGCAGGAGAGUGAUACAGAUUUCUGCUGGUUUCAUGAUCUUCUUCUCCAUAUUAGGAAAAUUCGGGGCACUUUUUGCUUCCAUUCCGUUUACAAUAUUCGCAGCCAUAUACUGUGUUAUGUUUGGAAUUAUUGCGGCGGUUGGGCUAUCCUUCCUACAAUUCACCAACAUGAACUCUAUGCGCAACCUCUUCAUCGUUGGUGUUUCACUCUUUCUUGGCUUAUCGAUACCAGAGUACUUUUCUCGGUAUCUGACAGGUGCUCAAAAUGGCCCGGUGCACACGAAGGCUGGAUGGUUCAAUGACUACAUCAACACCAUCUUCGCGUCCCCGCCGACUGUCGCUCUCAUCAUUGCUGUAGUCCUUGACAACACGCUAGAUGUCAGAGAUGCGGCGAAGGACAGGGGGAUGCAUUGGUGGGAGCGGUUCCGGACAUUCCGAGGGGACAGCAGGAACGAAGAGUUUUACACCCUGCCCUUCAACCUCAACAGGUUCUUCCCACCAUCUUGA